AUGAUUCCUAAAAUUUCAGAUUUUGGUAUGGCAAGAAUCUUUGGUGCAAACCAGUAUCAUGCUAACACAACCCGGGUCGUCGGAACAUAUGGUUACAUGUCCCCUGAAUAUGCCAUGGGAGGUACAUUUUCUGUGAAAUCAGACACUUAUAGCUUUGGGGUCCUUCUAUUGGAGAUUGUUAGUGGUUUGAAGAUCAGCUCAGCUCAGCUCAAAAUGGAAUUUUGUAGCCUUAUAUCUUAUGCCUGGAGAUUAUGGGAAGAUGGAAAAGCAACUGAAUUGGUGGACUCCUUCAUUGCUGCGAGCUGCCCACUUCAUGAAGUUGUACGAUGCAUUCAUGUGGGACUCUUGUGUGUCCAAGAUCAUCCAAAUGAUAGGCCACUAAUGUCCUCGGUUAUGUUUAUGUUAGAGAAUGAAAGCGCAAUGCUUCCACCUCCAAAGCAUCCUGUAUACUUUGCUCUAGGUAAUCCUAAAGGUGAACAAGCCAGUGAGAACACGAGAUCCUCGAAUGCAAUGAGUAUCACAAUGCUCAAAGGCCGUUAG
rnacentral:rRNA from 1 species